ACACGACUGCUUUCUCGCACGUGUGCAUGAUUUAUCAUUCGUGAAAGAGCUCGCCGACGUAGUGUUCGCCACUAGUUCAACACGUAAACUCGCCGGAAGCAGUAAUUAACUGGUGAUAACUUGUAUGAACGAGUAAUGUUACUUGAUGAUGAUUAUUAUUGUUAUACCGUUAUCUAAAAGCAAAAGAUGGUGUUAUCAAAAGUUAAAAAAAAAAGAAAAAAAUAUAUAUAUAUAUAAACAUUUUGUGAUAAGCAACAACAUUGAGUUUUGAUUCGAAAAGAAAGACGGAGAAUAUAUCUUUUUUUCUUGUUGUUUUCAUUUCCAUUCUCGCUCAUCUUUUAUAAAUCUUUUUAUUUGCAUUUUUCUUUAUUCGUCUGAAGAUAACGAAGGCAUGUCUAUCGGAAUAUAGAAGAAGAAGAAGAAGAAGAAGAAGUCACUGGAAAAUCAGUUAUCGAUUUAACGUGGUGAAGGACUUUAGUACUGGCAACGAACGCUUCAUUCAUUCGAGCUCGAAGUUAACGACCUAUUCGAAAGCGUUGGCUAGCAGUGAAAAAAGAGACAAAGAGAAAAAAGAAAUAAAAGAGAAGAGGCAAAAAAGGGACAAGGAGAAAACGAAUACCAACGAAUGGCAACGCUUAACAAUCCCCAACGAAGGAAGGUGUUCCAUCCGUUAUUACCUACCUCUUGAUUACAGUUAUCACGCCCGUUGAACGCUAAUUACGACUAACAACUAGCGCGGAAUUCGCGCGAGAUUGGCGUCGAGCUACAAUCAAAGUCCCCCUAGUACCUCAAUGAAUUUUUGCAGACAGCUUUAAUGUCCUACCUUUUCCGAGAUAGGCGCCUCGAUCUUACUUACCGUUCAUUAAAGAAAAUAUUAAUAUUUUUAUGGUGUAAAAAUGUGAAGAAAAAAUGACAUAAGAAAUAUACAUUAUAAGUAAUGAAAGUGAAAGUAUGUAAAGCAAGAUAUAAGUUGUAAAUAAUUUUAAUAAAUUAAAGUUUUAUAACGUAA